UUCCGGUUGAUCCUGCCGGACCCGACUGCUAUUUGGGUGAGGAUAAGCCAUGCGAGUUGAAUGGGAAACCUAAAGUUCCCAUGGCAAACUGCUCAGUAACACAUGAUCAACUUGCCCUAUAGAGAAAAAUAACCUCGGGAAACUGAGGAUAAUGUUUCAUAGUUGAAUUGGCUUGGAAAAGUUUUUCGACGAAAGGGGUAAAAAAAAUGGUUUUUAUCUGCUAUAGGAUAGGAUCGUGUUCGAUUAUGGUUGUUGGUGAGGUAAUGGCUCACCAAGCCGAUAAUCGAUAGGGGCCGUGAGAGCGGGAGCCCCGAGAUGGGUACUGAGACAACGACCCAGGCCUUACGAGGCGCAGCAGGCGCGAAACCUCCGCAAUACACGAAAGUGUGACGGGGUUACCCAAAGUGUUCAAUUUUGAACUGUGGUAGGUGAGUAAUGUUCCCUACUAGAAAGGAGAGGGCAAGGCUGGUGCCAGCCGCCGCGGUAAAACCAGCUCUUCAAGUGGUCGGGAUAAUUAUUGGGCUUAAAGUGUCCGUAGCCGGUUUAGUAAGUUCCUGGUAAAAUCGGGUAGCUUAACUAUCUAUAUGCUAGGAAUACUACUAUACUAGAGGGCGGGAGAGGUCUGAGGUACUACAGGGGUAGGGGUGAAAUCUUAUAAUCCUUGUUGGACCACCAGUGGCGAAGGCGUCAGACUGGAACGCGCCUGACGGUGAGGGACGAAAGCCAGGGGAGCGAACCGGAUUAGAUACCCGGGUAGUCCUGGCCGUAAACGAU
rnacentral:rRNA from 1 species